rnacentral:lncRNA from 1 species
GGCUAUAUGCUCUUUUUAGAGCAGAGCAUUCUAAAGUGAACCUCAUAAUUUGGUUUUCUUUUUUUUUCUUUUAAAAAAAUCUUAACUUAUUAUUAUGUUAGUACACUAUCACUGUCUUUAGACACACCAGAAGAGGACAUCAGAUCUCAUUAUGAAUGGUUGUAAGCCACCAUUUGGUUGCAGGGAUUUGAACUCAGGACCUUCAGAAGAGCAGUCAGUGCUCUUAACCACUGAGCCAUCUCUCCACCCCAUAAUUUGGUUUUCAUAAUUUAGUUUGAAAAUGAUUUCAUGAUUAUAUAGCAGGAUUUCUCUGUCAUGGGCUAUGUGUGGGGAUUAUCAAGAUCAAAUGAAUAUAUUGUCAGUGAAGUAUUCAUUACAGUAUUAUCAAUGUCACACUUUGUGUUGUAAAUAUGUAUGGGAUUUUAGGAUGCAUUGACCUUUGAUGAUGUGCAUGUACACUUCACUCGGGAGGAGUGGUCCUUGCUGGAUCCAUCUCAGAAGAGACUUUACAAAGAUGUGAUGCUGGAGAUCUACAAAAACCUCACUGCCAUAGGGUACAAAUGGAAAGACCAUAACGUUGGAGAACAUUCUCAAAAUGAUAGAAGAUAUGGAAGACAUGAAAGAAGUCCUGUUGGAGAGAACCACAAUGAAUAUACACAAUGUGAUAAAGCCUUCACAUAUCACAGUCAUCUUCAAAAGCUUGAAAGAAACCAAACUCGAGAGAAACACUCUGAAGGCUUUCAACAUAUGGAAGCACUUGCAUGUCAGAGUUCUCUCCAAAUACAUAAAAUAACACAUACUGGAGAGAAACCCUACAAAUGUAAUCAAUGUGAUAAAGCCUUUGCACAGCUCAAGUAUCUUCGAUUACAUGAAAGAAUACAUACUGGAGAGAAACCUUACAAAUGUAAUCAGUGUGAUAAAGCCUUUGCACAAGGCAGUAAUCUCAAAGUACAUACAAGGAUGCAUACUGGAGAGAAACCCUAUGAAUGUAAUCAAUGUGGUAAAGCCUUUUUACAAUCCAGCUGUCUUCGAAUACAUGAAAGAACACAUACUGGAGAGAAACCCUACAAAUGUAAUCAAUGUGAUAAAGCCUUUGCACAGCUCAAGUAUCUUCGAAUACAUGAAAGAACGCAUACUGGAGAGAAACCUUACAAAUGUGAUCAGUGUGAUAAAGCCUUUGCACAAGACAGUAAUCUCAAAGUUCAUACACGGAUGCAUACUGGAAAGACACCCUAUGAAUGUAAUCAAUGUGGUAAAACCUUUUUACAACCCAGAUAUCUUCGAGUACAUGAAAAAACACAUACUGGAGAGAAACCCUACAAAUGUAAUCAAUGCGGUAAAGCCUUUGCACAGGUCAAGUAUCUUCGAGCACAUGAAAGAAGACAUACUGGAGAGAAACCUUACAAAUGUGAUCAAUGUGGUAAGGCCUUUACACAAAGAGGUCAACUUCAAACCCAUAAAGUAAUACAUACUGGAGGGAGACUCUAAAUAUGUAAUCAGUGUGAUGAAGUCUAUUCACACCAGAGUCAUCUUCCAAUACAUGAAAGAACAUCAUAUACUGGAGAGAAACCUUAUAAAUGUGAUCAGUGUAGUAAAUCAUUUUUAUCUCACAGUCAUUAUCAAGCUGAUGAAAGAACACAUACUGGAUAGAAACUCUACAAAUAUAAUGAAUGUGAUAAAGCCUUUUCACAGCCCAGGUAUCUUCAAAUACAUGAAAGAACACAUACAGGAGAGAAACCUUACCAAUGUAAUCAGUGUGAUAAAGCCUUUGCACAAGGCAAUAAUCUCAAAGUUCAUACAAGGAUGCAUAUUGGAGAGAUCCCCAUGAGUGUAAUCAAUGUGGUAAAGCCUUUGCAUAUGACUAAUCUUUUGGGAUGCAUAAAAGAACAGAUUCUGGAGAGAAACAUUACAAACAUAAUGUGGUAAAGCCUUUGCAGAAAACAGUCAUCUUCAAACCCGUAAAAUACUACAUCCUGGAGAGACUCUGCAAAUGUAAUCAGUGUGAUAAUGCCUCUUCACAACAGAGAGGUCUCCAAAUACAUAAAAGGAAACAUUCUGUAGAGAAACCUUAGAAAUGUAGUCAAUGUGAUGAAGCCUAUUCACAGCACAAUGGUCUUACCUACAAUAACUCAUACUGGAGAGAAACCCUAUGAACGUAAGGGAUUUGGUAAAGCCUUUGCACAUUACAAUACGCUCCAAUAACAUAAAACGACCAUACUGAAGAAACUCUAUAAAUGUAAUCACAGGGUGAAGCAUUUGAACAUCACAGUAGUCUCUGGAAACAAAAAAGGAACCAUCUAGGAAAGAACUCCUAUAAAGUUCUUUAACAUGGUAAGGUCUUUGCACAUAUCUGUAGUCUUCAUCCUCAUGGAAGGAUUCAUACAGUAGAGAAACCAUAUGAACAAAAGAAAUGUAGUAAUGCUUUUGCUCAUCACAGUUAUCUCUUAUUAUAGAAAAAAGGAGAUAUUAGAGAAAGAUCCUACAAGUAUGAUAGAAGUGAUGAAGCCAUUGCACAACACAGUUAUCUCUGACUACAUUAAAGGAAAUAUAAUGAUGACAAACACUAUGAAUGUAAAAAGGGGGGGGGGUAAGCCCAUUAUAUAACAUGGUCAACUUUGAAUAUAGAAAAGUACAUACUAGACAGGAACCCUAUGAAUAUCAGCAAUGUAGUAAACACAUGAAACCAUUCAUACUGGAGAGAAACAGUAUUGAAGGUAUUAAAUAUGGUGAAGUCUUUGUAACAGUGGUCUGUAGAUACACACACACAAGUCUUCAUGCAGAAGAACAUCCCUCCAAAUAUAAUUGAUGUGAUAAACCAUUUUUAUGUUAUCUUUGAAUACAUCAAAGAACACAUACUGAAGAGAAAACCUAUGAGUGUAAGCAAUAGUGUAAUAUCUUUUCAUAUUAAGGUAAAAGAAUAAAUGCUCUGGAAAAACCCUCCUAAAGCAGUCUGUGAGAUGAAGCCAUUUUACAUCACAGUCAUCUUCAAAAGCAUGCAAAGAGUCGUUCUCGAGAGAAACCUUAUGAAUGUAUUUUAAAAUGUAAAGCCUUUGGAAAUUUCUAUAGCCUUCAUGAUCAUGAAACUAUUCAUAGAGGAGUGAAUCUCUGUGAAUGCAAGCAAUGUGGUAAACCCUUUGCUUACACAUUACAGUUCUCACAAAAUGCAGAAAACAACACAUACUGGCGAGAAACCUUAUGAAUAUAUUUAAUAUUGUGAAGCCUUUGCACAUUUCUGUAGUCAUCAUCAUGACUAUUUAUACUGGAGAGAAGGCCUGUGAAUGUGAGCAACGUGGCAAUCUUUUUAUUCACCAGAUGCAAAGAAAACAUACAGUAGAGAAACCUUAUGAAUGGGCUCACUGUGGUAAAGCCUAUGCACAUCACAAUAAUCCCUGAAUACAUAUAAGAACACAUUCUGGAGAAAAGCCCAAUGAAUGAAUGUAAUCAAUGACAUAAGAAAUUUGCAUGUGGCAGUAGUCUUUGAAUAUAUUAAAGAACAGAUACUAGAGAGAAAACAUACGACUGUUUGGGGAAAUGUGAAAGAACUCAUAAUGUAGAGAAUCUGAAUAUAAAGGAUUUGGUAAGAUCAUUACGUUCAGCUACACAAGAUUAUUCUGGAGAAAAGUAGUCCGACAAAUGUCAACCAUCUACUAAGCACAGUGUUCCUUUUUAUUUUACAUGCACCUGCAAACUCAGCUGGACAAAACUACUAUGGAUUUAAAUGACAAACAAAAAACCCUUUAGAUUUUUCUUCUCUUGAAUUUCACAAAACUCUGGUAUAAAAUUUUUGGGUGUGUAUUGAUGACUUUUUUGUUUCUGAGAUAAAACAUAAUAUCUAAUACAACUUACAAAGAAGUUUAGUUUGGCUUAUGGUUCCACACCACCAUAGUGUCAUUAAAUCAGUUGUGAGACAUGGCAGCUAAGGGAGGAAGCUCAGCUAUCACAUUUUCAACUUGCACCAUGUAGCAAGGAGUGGGAACUAGAGCUGUCAUACAGAUGUAAACUCUAAAGCCCACCUCCACUGACAUAUUUCCUCCACCAGGGCAUUAUUUGUUAAAUGAUACAAUGGUUUCAAAUGAUACAAUCAACAUAGAAGGAUUGAUUUCUCUGAUUGCAAACAUACCUCUGUAUGUAUUUAUAGCCCUGUAAAUAUUUGAAAGUGUUUAUGUAUUAUGUUGACAUCAGGUAAUAAAACAUUCAUACAUGAGAGAAAUCCUAUUCCCACAAACAAUUUAGUUAAGAUUUUGACAUCACAUUCAAUCCCCAUAAAAUUAUUGCUACACCUCUUUUUCCUUUUUUAUUUUUUGUUUUGUUUUGUUUUUUGAGACAGGCUUUCUCUGUGUAGCCCUGGCUCUUCUGGAACUGACUUUGUAGACCAGGCUGGCCUCGAACUCAGAAAUCUGCCUGCCUCUGCCUCCCAAGUGCUGGGAUUAAAGGCGUGCGCCACCAUCUCCCGGCUACACCUCUUUUUCUUAAUAGCCUUCAAGCAAGUAAAUAAUUCACCAUGUUCAUGCAAGUCUGAUGCUUCAUAUGAGGUUUAUAUUUUGAGAGUUCUGAACUUGGUGUUGAAGUGUGCUGUAUGUGUGACAAAUGCCAUUAUUUAAACGUGUUUUGGCUUAGAGACUAUUAAUGACUACUUCUAUUUCUUUAGGGGAUAUGGGACUGUUUAGAUCGUUAACUUGAUCCUGAUUUUCUUUAACAUGGUAAGGUCUUUGCACAUAUCUGUAGUCUUCAUCUUCAUGGAAGGAUUCAUACAGUAGAGAAACCAUAUGAACAAAAGAAAUGUGGUAAAGCUUUUGCUCAUCACAGUUAUCUCUUAUUAUAGAAAAAAGGAGAUAUUAGAGAAAAAUCCUACAAGCAUGACAGAAGUGAUGAAGCCAUUUCACAGCACAGUUAUCUCUGACUACAUUAAAGGAAAGGCAAUGAUGACAAACACUAUGAAUGUAAUAAAUGGGGUAAGCCCAUUAUAUAACAUGGUCAGCUUUGAAUACAGAAAAAGACAUAUUAGACAGGAACCCUAUGAAUAUAAGCAAUGUAGUAAACACAUGAAACCAUUCAUACUGGAGAGAAACAGUAUUGAAGGUAUUAAAUAUGGUGAUGUCUUUGCUUGUCACAGUGGUCUUUAGAUACACACACACACAAAUCAUAAUGCGGAAGAGCAACCAUCCAAAUAUAAUUGACGUGAUAAACCAUUUUUAUAAGUUUUACAUCUUUGAAUACAUCUAAGAGCACAUACUGAAGAGAAAACAUGAAUGUAAGCAAUAGUGUAACGCCUUUUCUGUUUUUUUUAUUUUAUUUCGUAAAUUUAUUUAUUGUUAUAUGGAAGUACACUGUAGCUGUAUUCAGACACACCAGAAGAGGGCAUCAGAUCUCAUUAUGGUUGGUUGUCAGCCACCAUGUGGUUGCCAGGAUUUGAACUCCGGACCUUCGGAAGAGCAGUCAGUGCUCUUAACCACUGAGCCAUCUCACCAGCCCUGUAACGCCUUUUCAUAUUAAGGUAAAAGAAUAUAUGUUCUGGAAAAACCCUCCAAAAGCAGUCUGUGAGAUGAAGCCAUUUUACAUCACAGUCAUCUUCAAAAGCAUGCAAAGAGUCAUUCUGGAGAGAAACCUUAUGAAUGCAUUUUAAAUUGUAAAGCCUUUGGAAAUUUCUAUAACCUUCAUGAUCAUGACUGUAUUCAUGGAGGAGUGAAACUGUGAACGCAAGCAAUGUGGUAAACCCUUUGCUUAUACAUCACAGUUUUGACCAAAUGCAGAAAACAACACAUACUGGUGAGAAACCUUAUGAGUAUAUUUAAUAGUGUGAAGCCUUUGCACAUUUCUGUAAUCAUCAUCAUAACUAUUUAUACUGGAGAGAAGGCCUGUGAAUGCGAGCAAUGUGGCAAACUCUUUAAUCUGCUUCGUUGCAAAACGUUUAUUUAUGAGCCCUGAGUGGUUUGACUCCUGAUAACAUGGAGGUGGUUGUCAGGGAAACCAAGACUGAAAGAGAAGUCACUCUAAGGCUGGGGAAAUCAGGUAUUUACAGAGAGCCCUGGAGUGUGGAUGAACUGUCAGGGAGGGAGCCUUAAGUGUGGAAGCCAGAGGAUCAAAAGGCCAAAUAGCUGUGCUUGUGGAGACCCAGAAGACAAGCUAGCUCCUGUUGUACUUUCUGUAUCCACCAAGCUGUUUUGGCUCAGCUCCCUUCCAGGUCUUCCAUUCUUCUUGGAAACUCUAAGUAGCUGUCAAAGCCAGAACCUCAUAGUCCACCAGUUGUCAGUACCCAGUUGUUCCUUAAACUGAGGAGUCCAGACGCUGUCAUUGCUCUAAGUUAUUUGGUCGAUAGAAAUAAUGAUAUUCUAAAGAGCAUUUAUAGAUCUCCCUUUGGGUAAUAUGUAGUGAAACCAUGUACCCUAUGAAAUUUGAAUUUCCCCUAAACUCAAUCUGGGAAAGACUGGUUCCUCCAAAUGAGAAUGUCCUUGUUGAAUAAGAAAGGAACGAACAAUUCGGAUGGGUUUACAGAUGGGAAACAUUCAUAUACAUUGGUUAGAUUCCUUAAUUGUGCAUAUAUCUUGCCUGCUAUCUGCUCACAUUAGGAACCCAAGGAUAAUUAGUUUAUAUCUUCAUCACUUGUUCAAAGAAGU